CUGGGUCAAGGCUGUAGCUUGGAAGUGCCCUUAGGCUGAAACCUGGGGUCUCCUGGCAACUACAGCCCCUCACUGGCUGUCUGAGGGUCCUAGCAUGAGGCUGAGGGGGCACUGAACAGAGGAGGCCUGAUGGGAGGUGUUGUGUGCCCAGGUUCACCUCGGUGGUCUGCAGGAGGAGAACAUCUUCGACGGAACGGGCUCUUCUUCAUGUACUAUUGUGGAUGUAUUAUAUCAUAAGCACAAUUCCUUGGCAAAAGGAAGAUUGGUUUGGAUUUCACGUGCAGUAGCUGGC